rnacentral:tRNA from 1 species
AUUUAAAUAGUUUAAAUUAAAAAUUUAAUAUUGAAAAUAUUAAGAUAAAUUAUCUAAUUUUUUAAAUA